rnacentral:rRNA from 1 species
AAGUCCGUAUUUGAUGCUGAAAUCCGAAAGUACAAGGAGGCUUCGGCCGAAUUGAGUGAACCUAAUCAGACUUCCGAGAAAAUCCGCUAAGCAUAUUUUGCAGUUGCCCGUACCGCAAACCGACACAGGUAGUCGAGGAGAGAAUCCUAAGGUGCUCGAGAGAUUCAUGGCUAAGGAACUCGGCAAAAUUAACCUGUAACUUCGGGAGAAGGGUUGCCUACUUCAGCAAUGAAGAGGUCGCAGAGAAAUGGCCCAGGCGACUGUUUAACAAAAACACAUGGCUAUGCGAAAUCGCAAGAUGAAGUAUAUGGCCUGACACCUGCCCGGUGCUGGAAGGUUAAGGGGGGAAGUUAGCCGCAAGGCGACGCUUUGAACUGAAGCCCCAGUAAACGGCGGCCGUAACUAUAACGGUCCUAAGGUAGCGAAAUUCCUUGUCGGGUAAGUUCCGACCUGCACGAAUGGUGUAACGAUCUGGGCGCUGUCUCAGCCAUGAGCUCGGUGAAGUUGUAGUAACGGUGAAGAUGCCGUUUACCCGUCACGGGACGGAAAGACCCCAUGAACCUUUACUAUAGCUUCACAUUGGUAUUGGGAAGAUGAUGUGUAGGAUAGGCGGGAGGCAAUGAUCUGGUGGCGCUAGCUAUCAGGGAGUCAACGGUGAAAUACCGCCCUUUAUUUUUCCGAUACCUAACCACUGUAUAGUGGGACAUUGUGUGGUGGGUAGUUUGACUGGGGUGGUCGCCUCCGAAAGUGUAUCGGAGGCUUUCAAAGGUAUGCUCAGUACGCUUGGUAACCGUACGUGGAGUGCAUUAGCAUAAGCAUGCUUGACUGUGAGACAGACAAGUCGAUCAGGCGCGAAAGCGGGAUAAAGUGAUCCGGUGGUUCUGCAUGGAAGGGCCAUCGCUCAAAGGAUAAAAGGUACUCUGGGGAUAACAGGCUGAUCUCCCCCAAGAGCUCAUAUCGACGGGGAGGUUUGGCACCUCGAUGUCGGCUCGUCACAUCCUGGGGCUGGAGAAGGUCCCAAGGGUUGGGCUGUUCGCCCAUUAAAGUGGCACGCGAGCUGGGUUCAGAACGUCGUGAGACAGUUUGGUCCCUAUCUGUGAUGGGCGCAGGAAGUUUGAGAGGCUCUGACCUUAGUACGAGAGGACCGGGUUGGAGCAACCGCUGGUGUACCGGUUGUCAUGUCAGUGGCACUGCCGGGUAGCUAUGUUGCGACGGAAUAAGCGCUGAAAGCAUCUAAGCGCGAAAUCCACCUCGAGAUGAGACUUCCUUAUAAGGGACGUCGUAGACUACGACGUUGAUAGGCUGCAGGUGUAAAGUCAGUAAUGACAAAGCUGAGCAGUACUAAUUACCCAA